rnacentral:rRNA from 1 species
GAUGAACGCUGGCGGCGUGCCUAAUACAUGCAAGUCGAGCGAACGGACGAGAAGCUUGCUUUUCUGAUGUUAGCGGCGGACGGGUGAGUAACACGUGGAUAACCUACCUAUAAGACUGGGAUAACUUCGGGAAACCGGAGCUAAUACCGGAUAAUAUUUUGAACCGCAUGGUUCAAAAGUGAAAGACGGUCUUGCUGUCACUUAUAGAUGGAUCCGCGCUGCAUUAGCUAGUUGGUAAGGUAACGGCUUACCAAGGCAACGAUGCAUAGCCGACCUGAGAGGGUGAUCGGCCACACUGGAACUGAGACACGGUCCAGACUCCUACGGGAGGCAGCAGUAGGGAAUCUUCCGCAAUGGGCGAAAGCCUGACGGAGCAACGCCGCGUGAGUGAUGAAGGUCUUCGGAUCGUAAAACUCUGUUAUUAGGGAAGAACAUAUGUGUAAGUAACUGUGCACAUCUUGACGGUACCUAAUCAGAAAUCCACGGCUAACUACGUG